rnacentral:rRNA from 1 species
CCUACGGGAGGCAGCAGUAGGGAAUAUUGCUCAAUGGGGGAAACCCUGAAGCAGCAACGCCGCGUGGAGGAUGAAGGUUUUCGGAGUGUAAACUCCUUUUGGUAGAGAAGAGAAUGACGGUAUCUAACGAAUAAGCACCGGCUAACUCCGUGCCAGCAGCCGCGGUAAUACGGAGGGUGCAAGCGUUACUCGGAAUCACUGGGCGUAAAGAGCGCGUAGGCGGGAUAGCAAGUCAGAUGUGAAAUCCUAUGGCUUAACCAUAGAACUGCAUUUGAAACUGUUAUUCUGGAGUAUGGGAGAGGUAGGUGGAAUUCUUGGUGUAGUGGUUCAAUCCGUAGAGAUCACGAGGAAUACUCAUUGCGAAGGCGACCUGCUAGACCAUAACUGACGCUGAUGCGCGAAAGCGUGGGGAGCAAACAGGAUUAGAUACCCGGGUAGUC